rnacentral:rRNA from 1 species
GAUGAACGCUAGCGACAGGCCUAACACAUGCAAGUCGAGGGGCAGCACAUGAGUAGCAAUACGAUGGUGGCGACCGGCGCACGGGUGAGUAACACGUAUGCAACCUGCCUUCUACUAUGGGAUAACCCGUUGAAAGACGGACUAAUACCGUAUAAUACAGGGGCUCCGCAUGGAGAUAUUUGUUAAAGAUUUAUUGGUAGAAGAUGGGCAUGCGUAUGAUUAGAUAGUUGGUGAGGUAACGGCUCACCAAGUCAACGAUCAUUAGGGGUUCUGAGAGGAAGGUCCCCCACACUGGUACUGAGACACGGACCAGACUCCUACGGGAGGCAGCAGUGAGGAAUAUUGGUCAAUGGACGAGAGUCUGAACCAGCCAAGUCGCGUGAAGGAAGACGGUUCUAUGAAUUGUAAACU